AACUACUUCUCGUGUUGGGUCAGUCCUAGCACAUGUCUCCACAUGUGUCCACAUUAUUAGUUCAACAUCUCCAUGUCCAUGACUUGUGAAACAUAGUCAUCAACUAAUACAUGUGCUAGUCUAAUAUUCAUGUGUGUCCUCACAUGAGCUCCGACCAGAGACAACUUUAGAAUAACCAUACAAGUAAAGAGUUUCACAUACAAUUCACAUAAUUGCAAAUCAAUUCAAGUAGCCUUCAAUGGAUAUUCAAUGAACACAACAUACAAAUCAUGCAUACAAAUGGAAUAUCAUCAUCUCUAUGAUUGCCUCUAGGGCAUACCUCCAACAGUC
rnacentral:lncRNA from 1 species